AUUAAAUAGAAAUAGUAAUUUUAAGGGAUUUUAAUUUUUGGCGAAUUGAAGUGACCAAUUAUAUUUGUUUUUUAAGUCUAUGGUCAAAUACAAAUAUGAUUAUUCUGGUUUUCAGUUAUAAUCUAAAUUAAUAUUCUGUUUCUUGAAUAUUAUAAGAGUGAUUUUUAAAGGAAAGUGCAUUCCAAUUUGUACUUUUCAGUUUUUGUACAACCGCUGCGUGACGGUUGUGAGGUUAUUAAUGUGUAACGCUUCGUAUUUAGAACUUAAGGAAAGAAGCAGAAGUACAGCAUAAACAGAAGAGAUACUAUAGUCUUAAGAUUUCUGAUCUAUGCAAAAUGAGUGUGAAAGCCUUUGACCUGGUCCCUGCCACAGAAAUAACCUUGUCUGAACGAGUUGGAACAACAGGCAUCCUCCCUAGGCAUUCAGCAAUAUAGAUAUUGAUAAAAGUGUGAGUGUUUCUGUUUGUUUUUUCAAGUUGUAAGUUAUAUUUUUGUAACAACUUGCCUGUAAUGUAGAAAGAGUUUCAAUAUAAGACAUGUAAAGUUAUGAACUUAGGGUAGGAACUUUGGGUGAAAGAAGCUUUUGUGUU